CACACCGCCCGUCACACCAUGGGAGUUGGUUGCACCAGAAGCAGGUGGCUUAACCGUAAGGAGAGCGCCUACCACGGUGUGGUCAAUGACUGGGGUG
rnacentral:rRNA from 1 species